GAUGAACGCUAGCUACAGGCUUAACACAUGCAAGUCGAGGGGAAACGACAUCGAAAGCUUGCUUUUGGUGGGCGUCGACCGGCGCACGGGUGAGUAACGCGUAUCCAACCUGCCCACCACUUGGGGAUAACCUUGCGAAAGUAAGACUAAUACCCAAUGAUGUCCCACGAAGGCAUCCGAAUGGGAUUAAAGAUUUAUCGGUGAUGGAUGGGGAUGCGUCUGAUUAGCUUGUUGGCGGGGUAACGGCCCACCAAGGCAACGAUCAGUAGGGGUUCUGAGAGGAAGGUCCCCCCACAUUGGAACUGAGACACGGUCCAAACUCCUACGGGAGGCAGCAGUGAGGAAUAUUGGUCAAUGGGCGAGAGCCUGACGGAGCAACGCCGCGUGAACGAUGACGGCCUUCGGUUGUAAAGUUACUGUUAUACGGGACGAAGUGGCGUAGCGGUCAAUACCCGUUACGAGUGACGGUACCGUAA
rnacentral:rRNA from 1 species